rnacentral:rRNA from 1 species
AUUGAACGCUGGCGGCAUGCCUUACACAUGCAAGUCGAACGGCAGCACGGGAGCAAUCCUGGUGGCGAGUGGCGAACGGGUGAGUAAUAUAUCGGAACGUGCCCAGUCGUGGGGGAUAACGUAGCGAAAGCUACGCUAAUACCGCAUACGAUCUAUGGAUGAAAGCGGGGGGAUCGCAAGACCUCGCGCGAUUGGAGCGGCCGAUAUCAGAUUAGGUAGUUGGUGAGGUAAAGGCUCACCAAGCCGACGAUCUGUAGCUGGUCUGAGAGGACGACCAGCCACACUGGGACUGAGACACGGCCCAGACUCCUACGGGAGGCAGCAGUGGGGGAAUUUUUGGACAAUGGGCGCAAGCCUGAUCCAGCAAUAGCCGCGUGCAGGAUGAAGGCC